GAUUUUUAUAAAUAAGCAAGUUAUAAUAUAACUUCUGAAUGAAUUAAAAUAAAUCUUACACAAUCGUCUUUGGAUGCGUUAUAUGUGGGCACACUGUGACCAUGUGAUUGUUUCAAAUCAUCAAUCAUUUGAUUCAAAUGUCAUGAAUGUGGGAGAUUAAUAAAUGAUGUAAAAAAAUCUGUAAACACAUAAACAUGAUAAAGACAAGAAGAAGAAUUUAAAAUUUGCAAAUCCAAAAACAAA
rnacentral:lncRNA from 1 species